CAUAUACCUAACCUUAUCUCGUCUGCAGCCUCUUCCUUCACUCUCUCUCUCAACUCGCUCUCUGAUUUUUUCUGUAUCAUAACAACUAGUUGCUUGUGAAUCAAAACUUUUAGUAUUAGGUUUUUCCUCCUCUUUUUCAACAUCAUCUCUUGAAGGUUUGUUCUGAAUCGAUGAAAAAGAGGCGAUAAAGAUUAUCAACAACAAUUAACUGAAUCAAAAGAUAAGUAUCAUCUUUAAUUAUUUUUUUUAGUUCAAUCGAUUAACUUAUCAAUCUCGAAUUGAAAUUUCAGAAAAAAAAUUUCUAUGUUAGUAAACCUAAAAGCUUGGAUUUCAUCUCACUCCUCUUAUCUGAUUCUUAUCAGUUUGUGCAUUUGUUGAUACUUUAAGUUUAUUUGUUUGUUUUCUUAGUUUCGUUUUAUUGAUUGUGUGUAUUCUAUUUUUAUUCAGGCACCAUAAGAGUAGAAGGCUCCACUACAUCUUCCAAUCCAGCUAAAUCUGGUGGUGGUAAACAAAAGAAGAAGAUCAGUUCAUGAUUAAAUCUAUAUUGGGUUCUUCUUUUAUGUUGAAUUUAAGUUUUUUACUUUAUAAUAAGUUGUCUUGUCUUGUGAUUUGGACAGAAUUGAAGCAAAGGAAACCAAAAGGAGAAGGUUAACAACGUGAUUUUGUGGGAUCAAGCUAGGGUUUAAUCUGUGGUUUUCUUUGAAGUUGAAGAGAAAAAGAUCGUAUGAAUGGCCGACCUCUGACAUCGAUUUGGCAAAGUAUGCAUUGGCAUUAACGGGUCAUUUAGAUUGGCGAAAAGCUCAUGCUUUUGAACAUUCCAUGGUCCAUAGGUUUUGCCCAUGUUUUCUGACUUACUCCCAUUGGAGUGUAGGCAAAUGGCUUACUAAUUGGGAUGGAAGAUGUACGUGUACCACAAGAGAAGCAAGCCAAGUGUCUGUCGUCAUUGCUUAUCCCUCUAUGCAAUCAGGUAGGGGAUGAAUCCUUUCUUGAGGCAAGUUAUUAGAUGGGAAGGGGAAGAUAUUUCUGUUAGUUGGAAAAUUUUCUUUCCUAUUCAGGUCCGUAAGCUGCUUUUAAAUGCCAAUGUGCAAAAUCAGGAAGAAUCUUAUGCUAAAAUUGCCAAUAUACAACAAUUAAUCAUGGCAAUUAAUGCACUGAGCAAGGGAGACUAGCAGUGGCAAGACGUUCGCUGAAGCCCUAAAGGAAUGGGGGAUCCUCUGUAACUCACCAUUAUUGGAGACUUUGAUUCUUCUCUUCCAAUUAUCAGUAUUUACUUUAUUAGGAAAUUGAUCCUAAAAUAUAGUUGUUUUGUGCACCAACGUCUGCGUGAACAUUUCCUGAUGUGAGGUCUUAUGUGUCACCAUAAGAUUAAGCUAAUGUGGACUUGCAUUUCCUUGUACUACUAUUUUCGUAUCUAACAUGUUGCUGUUGCGUUAGUUUGGUGACAUGUCUGAAUUUUUACUCCGGUUUUUGUUUGUGGCAGACUUUGGAUGUUCUCCUUCAAAUUCUUGUGGUGUUUCCUAAGGUUGAUGCUCUACAGAGUAAGGUCAUGUCAUUUAUUCACCGGAUGGUAGAGGUUUUAGGAGGAGCUGUCUUUCCCUUCGCUGCGAUGAUUGGAAGCCGAAUGCUAUCCAUUGCACUCUGUUUUUGGAAAGCAAAGACUCCUAAACGAAGGGAAUCCAUUGAUUUGGGAAUUCCCUACAUGGAGUUACCUGGUGUGGUGCCAGAUCUGCAGAAAUGGUAGAGUCUCUUCGCUAUAUGCCCAAGGACAGAACUGCUCAUUUGAUGGUAUUAUCUUGCAUACGUUCGAUCUCACAGUUUUGAGCACUUGUGUCAAUUUUGCAAAUGAGAAACUGCAACAACAUUUCAAUCAGGUGGAAUUAAAGUUUGAUCAUAUAAAUGGUAAUGGAUGCAACUAUGGAACUCCCUACGAGUGUCAACUGGCAAGUAUGCUUAGGGCUGGAGUGAUGGACCUGAUUUGAGCCGGUUUGUCAGAAGAUGAAGAUAUAGAUGGGGAAGUCUUACCUUCAACUUAGUGUUGAAACUUCAUGGUUGUAAAUCGUGUAACAUGAAUAUUGGUUAAGGUCUUCCAAUUUAGUAUUAGAAGUUUUCCGGACUUGGAACUCGAAGUAUUUUAGAUAGGUGAAAUUGUAAACUGUGUACACUUUUCUAUACAAAUUUAGUUUUGAUCCUCUUUCUUUUAUGGAUUAAUAAAAAUAUAUUCGUUAUAAACUGGUUUUAUUUAUUA